CUGUACGCGAGGCCUAGUCCGCACCAAGUGGUCGCUACGCUGUAGAGUGAAAACCGAUACGUCAGGUAACCGCGACCCUGUAAAUCUACACCGCAACCCAAGUCCCCGGUAGAAGACACACACCAAGGAUAGCAGAAUCCGACGCCUACACGAGUGUCCAUACUUAGGGAAACACGAGAGGGUGAGCGGAGAACGAAACUUAUUACAAGUAGUAUUAAAGUAAUUGGUUAAAAAAAGACUUACCUUCAUGCGGAGAGGAAGAAUCAAAAAUCAUGUCCCCCUUUUGUGUCAAGGAAGAAAGGAAGCAGGAAUUCCCUUUUUUCUUUACCUCCGGCAACCGGGUUUAAACUCAAAGAACGAGCAGGUAACCCUCUACUACAUGGGUUAGACAUCACUUAUACCGCAUAGUCUAAUUAAGCGAACGGGUAGGUACCGGUUUCGAACCUCCUAUAGUACGACCACCGGUAAAAAACGGCUCUGGACCUGUACACGUGCUUCCCGGUGAAGCUCAGCGAACCACUGUAUUACUAAAAUCCUCGUAGUGGCCGUUUGGAUGGAAGUCAAAUUCGAGCACCAAACCUUAAGGACCCUUCCAGUAGAACAAUUCCUUGAGGCAACCUGUGUAUAAGAGGUAACACAACAUGAAGUAACAACGGAACGUAUAUCACAGGUUCGAAUC
rnacentral:rRNA from 1 species